AUUGAACGCUGGCGGCAUGCUUUACACAUGCAAGUCGAACGGUAACAGGUUAAGCUGACGAGUGGCGAACGGGUGAGUAAUGCAUCGGAACGUGCCCGGUCGUGGGGGAUAACGCAGCGAAAGCUGCGCUAAUACCGCAUACGCCCGAGAGGGGAAAGUGGGGGACCGCAAGGCCUCACGCGAUUGGGUUGGCCGAUGUCCGAUUAGCUAGUUGGCGGGGUAAGAGCCCACCAAGGCGAUGAUCGGUAGCUGGUCUGAGAGGAUGAUCAGCCACACUGGGACUGAGACACGGCCCAGACUCCUACGGGAGGCAGCAGUGGGGAAUUUUGGACAAUGGGGGCAACCCUGAUCCAGCCAUUCCGCGUGAGUGAAGAAGGCCUUCGGGUUGUAAAGCUCUUUUGUCCGGAACGAAACGGCUAGCGUGAAUAUCGCUGGCUACUGACGGUACCGGAAGAAUAAGCACCGGCUAACUACGUGCCAGCAGCCGCGGUAAUAC
rnacentral:rRNA from 1 species